rnacentral:rRNA from 1 species
GGUUACUGCUAUCGGUGUUCGUCUAAGCCAUGCGAGUCAUAUGUAGCAAUACAUGGCGUACUGCUCAGUAACACGUGGAUAACCUGCCCUUGGGUCCGGCAUAACCCCGGGAAACUGGGGAUAAUUCCGGAUAACGCAUAUAUGCUGGAAUGCUUUAUGCGUGAAAUGGAUUCGUCUGCCCAAGGAUGGGUCUGCGGCCUAUCAGGUAGUAGUGGGUGUGAUGUACCUACUAGCCUACGACGGGUACGGGUUGUGAGAGCAAGAGCCCGGAGAUGGAUUCUGAGACAUGAAUCCAGGCCCUACGGGGCGCAGCAGGCGCGAAAACUUUACAAUGCGGGAAACCGUGAUAAGGGGACACCGAGUGCCAGCAUCCUAUGCUGGCUGUCCAGGUGUGUAAACUACACCUGUUAGCAAGGGCCGGGCAAGACCGGUGCCAGCCGCCGCGGUAACACCGGCGGCCCGAGUGGUGAUCGUGAUUAUUGGGUCUAAAGGGUCCGUAGCCGGUUUGGUCAGUCCUCCGGGAAAUCUGACAGCUUAACUGUUAGGCUUUCGGAGGAUACUGCCAGACUUGGAACCGGGAGAGGUAAGAGGUACUACAGGGGUAGGAGUGAAAUCUUGU